rnacentral:rRNA from 1 species
UACGAAGGGGGCGAGCGUUGUUCGGAUUUACUGGGCGUAAAGGGCGCGUAGGCGGCCUUGUCAGUCAGGCGUGAAAGCCCCGGGCUCAACCUGGGAACGGCGCUUGGGACGGCGAGGCUGGAGUUCGGGAGAGGAGAGUGGAAUUCCCAGUGUAGAGGUGAAAUUCGUAGAUAUUGGGAAGAACACCGGUGGCGAAGGCGGCUACCUGGACCGGUUCUGACGCUGAUGCGCGAAAGCGUGGGUAGCAAACAGG